GCCAGAUGCUCAGAGGCUUGACAGCCUCAGGGAGUCCAGACUCACCUUCCAGAGCGGCCCCUCCACCCCUCAUGUCACCAGACAUGGGGGUUCAGCCUGGAUCGGUCCAUCCCGUGCGCUGAUGAAAGGGCAAUGGUGCAAAAUUCGUUGGGGAGAAAAACAGGAAGUGGAGCCUGAGAGCAAGGCUGCAGAAACGCUCCCCGGGCGUUGGCCGCCCUUCCACCCGCAGCCUUACAGGAAAGUGGCGAAGGGGCAGCCCCAGCCUGGGCUGUGGGGGCGUGGGGUGAGGGUGCUGGUGGGAGAGUCCAGGAAAGACCCUUCCGCUGUAUUUUUAGGGGCUGUGUCUUGUAGAGCAAACGCUACAUCUGUGUCCUGCACUUGACAUCUCCUCUCACCUGUUCACAGCGGCUCCUCAAGAGUCGCAGAUGGAGCCCCCCAGGCCCACGGAACCUGGCCACCGUACGGAAGGCACCGCGGCCCCCCACCCCCCAUCUCUGAGGUCGAAACCACAAUGUCGUGCUGUGGCCUUCACUCACCCGUCACGACAGGGGUCCCUUUCCCAGAAGCCUCUGGGGGCUGCCAGACCACAGCAGAAGCCAGGUGUCACCAAGCCUCGCGGUCUGUGCCACCACCAAGGGACGAGGCUCCAAGUUUCACUCAUCCAUUCAACACACGUUGUCAAAUGUCACCAGACACGGUCCUGUGCCCUGAGGAUACUGCGGUGACAACGACUCUGCCUGCGGGACAUUCAGGUGGGGGGCGGGGCAGAUUCGGAAAUAAACAAGAAACAAACAAACGCAUCUGUAAUACCUCCCGUGGCAGUUGGUGCUCUGGAGAACGAAACAGGGGGGUGCCCUCCUCACCCUGCUUGGGCUGCCCCCCCCCCCCCCCCACAUCACGCAGCUGCUGCCCUCAC